GAUGAAGAACGCAGCGAAAUGCGAUAAGUAAUGUGAAUUGCAGAAUUCAGUGAAUCAUCGAAUCUUUGAACGCACAUUGCGCCCGCUAGUAUUCUGGCGGGCAUGCCUGUCCGAGCGUCAUUUCAACCCUCAAGCCCCCGGGCUUGGUGUUGGGGAUCGGCGAGCCUCCGCGCCCGCCGUCCCCUAAAUCUAGUGGCGGUCUCGCUGUAGCUUCCUCUGCGUAGUUGCACACCUCGCACUGGGAAACAGCGCGGCCACGCCGUUAAACCCCCAACUUCUGAACGUUUGACCUCGGAUCAGGUAGGAAUACCCGCUGAACUUAAGCAUAUCAAUAAGCGGAGGA
rnacentral:misc_RNA from 1 species